GAGGGUAUAGCUCUGUGGUAGAGCGCGUGCUUAGCACGCACGAGGUCCUGGGUUCAAUCCCCCAUACCUCCA
rnacentral:tRNA from 1 species